GACGAACCGUGCGAACGUUGUUCGGAAUCACUGGGCUUAAAGGGCGCGUAGGCGGGUUCGCAAGUCUGUGGUGAAAGCCCCCAGCUUAACUGGGGAAGUGCCGUGGAUACUGCGAAUCUUGAGGAGGGUAGGGGCAUCUGGAACGGUCGGUGGAGCGGUGAAAUGCGUUGAUAUCGACCGGAACUCCGGUGGCGAAGGCGGGUCUCUGGACAGUUCCUGACGCUGAGGCACGAAGGUCAGGGGAGCAAACGGG
rnacentral:rRNA from 1 species